rnacentral:rRNA from 1 species
GUCUUUUUGAAAAUAAUUUAAAGUCUAAUCUGCCCACUGAAUAAAAAUUUAAAGGGCUGCAGUAUAUUGACUGUACAAAGGUAGCAUAAUCAAUAGUCUUUUAAUUGAAGACUUGUAUGAAUGAUUUAAUGAAAUAUAAACUGUCUCUUUAUUAAAAUUAGAAUUUAAUUUUUUAGUUAAAAAGCUAAAAUUAUAAUAAAAGACGAGAAGACCCUAUAGAGUUUUAUAUUUAUUAGUAUAUAAAAAUAUUAUAUAAUUAAAAAAUUAUAUAUAAAUAAAUAUUUUAUUGGGGUGAUAGAAAAAUAAAAUAAACUUUUUUAAAAAAUAAACAUUGAUUUAUGAAUAGAUGAUCCAUAAUUUAUGAUUAUAAGAUUAAAUUACCUUAGGGAUAACAGCGUAAUUUUUUUUUUUAGUUCAAAUAAAAAUAAAAGUUUGCGACCUCGAUGUUGGAUUAAGAUAAAAUUUAAAUGCAAAAGUUUAAAAUUUUGAUCUGUUCGAUCAUUAAAAUCUUACA